rnacentral:rRNA from 1 species
GUGGGGAAUAUUGGACAAUGGGCGCAAGCCUGAUCCAGCCAUACCGCGUGGGUGAAGAAGGCCUUCGGGUUGUAAAGCCCUUUUGUUGGGAAAGAAAUCCUGUCGGUUAAUAACCGGUGGGGAUGACGGUACCCAAAGAAUAAGCACCGGCUAACUUCGUGCCAGCAGCCGCGGUAAUACGAAGGGUGCAAGCGUUACUCGGAAUUACUGGGCGUAAAGCGUGCGUAGGUGGUGGUUUAAGUCUGCUGUGAAAGCCCUGGGCUGAACCUGGGAAUUGGAGUGGAUACUGGAUCACUAGAGUGUGGUAGAGGGAUGCGGAAUUUCUGGUGUAGCAGUGAAAUGCGUAGAGAUCAGAAGGAACAUCCGUGGCGAAGGCGGCAUCCUGGGCCAACACUGACACUGAGGCACGAAAGCGUGGGGAGCAAACAGGAUUAGAAACCCGGGUAGUCC